ACUACGUCGUGUUCUGUAAAAGGGUUGGAUCCGACGCCUCUAGAAGGCUACUAUAGGCUCUCUUUCUCAACUCCAACGUAAAUCAACUAGGAUGCGUUGUUCCACCGACGAGAUAGGA
rnacentral:ribozyme from 1 species